AUUGAACGCUGGCGGCAUGCCUUACACAUGCAAGUCGAACGGCAGCACGGGAGCAAUCCUGGUGGCGAGUGGCGAACGGGUGAGUAAUACAUCGGAACGUGCCCAGUCGUGGGGGAUAACCCUGCGAAAGCCGUACUAAUACCGCAUACGUCCUGCGGGUGAAAGCGGGGGAUCGCAAGACCUCGCGCUAUCGGAGCGGCCGAUGUCAGAUUAGCUAGUUGGUGGGGUAAAGGCCUACCAAGGCGACGAUCUGUAGCUGGUCUGAGAGGACGACCAGCCACACUGGGACUGAGACACGGCCCAGACUCCUACGGGAGGCAGCAGUGGGGAAUUUUGGACAAUGGGCGCAAGCCUGAUCCAGCCAUGCCGCGUGAGGGAAGAAGGCCUUCGGGUUGUAAACCGCUUUUGGCAGGGAAGAAACGCUGAGGGCUAAUACCGCGGAGUAAUGACGGUACCUGAAGAAGAAGCACCGGCUAACUACGUG
rnacentral:rRNA from 1 species